UACAGAGGUGCCAAGCGUUAGGCGGAAUCACUGGGCUUAAAGCGCGUGUAGGUGGGUCGUUAAGUGUCCGUCGUGAAAUCCCACGGCUCAACCGUGGAACUGCCGGGCAUUACUGGCGAUCUUGAGGCAUUCAGGGGCGAGCGGAACAAGUGGUGGAGCGGUGAGAUGCGUAGAUAUCACUUGGAACGCCAAUGGUGAAAACAGCUCGCUGGGAAUGAAUCUGACACUGAGACGCGAAAGCCAGGGGAGGCGAAACGGG
rnacentral:rRNA from 1 species